rnacentral:rRNA from 1 species
UCCGUAGGGUGCGAGCGUUGUCCGGAAUUAUUGGGCGUAAAGAGCUCGUAGGCGGUUUGUCGCGUCUGCUGUGAAAACCCGAGGCUCAACCUCGGGCCUGCAGUGGGUACGGGCAGACUAGAGUGCGGUAGGGGAGAAUGGAACUCCUGGUGUAGCGGUGGAAUGCGCAGAUAUCAGGAAGAACACCGAUGGCGAAGGCAGUUCUCUGGGCCGUAACUGACGCUGAGGAGCGAAAGCGUGGGGAGCGAACAGG